ACGGAGAGUUUGAUCCUGGCUCAGAACGAACGCUGGCGGCGCGUUUUAAGCAUGCAAGUCGAGCGGUAAGGUCCUUCGGGACCCCAGAGCGGCGGACGGGUGAGUAACACGUGGAUAAUCUGCCUCUCAGUCCGGGAUAGCACAUGGAAACAUGUGAUAAUACCGGAUGAGAUGCGUCCUUCACAUGAGGGAUGCAGGAAAGGUCCUGCGGGAUCGCUGAGAGAUGAGUCCGCGGCCCAUUAGCUAGUUGGCGGGGUAAAGGCCCACCAAGGCGACGAUGGGUAGCCGGCCUGAGAGGGUGGACGGCCACAUUGGGACUGAGACACGGCCCAGACUCCUACGGGAGGCAGCAGCUAAGAAUCUUCCACAAUGGACGAAAGUCUGAUGGAGCGACGCCGCGUGAACGAUGAAGGCCGUAAGGUUGUAAAGUUCUUUUUGGAAGGAAGAAUAAGGCGGGCAGGGAAUGGCCUGCUGAUGACGUGAAUUCCAGAAUAAGCCCCGGCUAACUACGUGCCAGCAGCCGCGGUAACACGUAGGGGGCGAGCGUUGUUCGGAAUUAUUGGGCGUAAAGGGCACGCAGGCGGCUUGGCAAGUCUGAUGUAAAAAUUCAGGGCUCAACCCUGUCUGGCGUUGGAAACUGCUGAGCUUGAGUACAGGAGGGGAUAUUGGAAUUCCAGGUGUAGGGGUGAAAUCUGUAGAUAUCUGGAAGAACACCGAUGGCGAAGGCAAAUAUCUGGCCAUGUACUGACGCUGAGGUGCGAAGGUGCGGGGAGCAAACAGGUUUAGAUACCCUGGUAGUCCGCACAGUAAACGAUGUACAUUAGGUGGCGGCAGCAAUGUCGGUACCGAAGCAAACGCAUUAAAUGUACCGCCUGGGGAGUAUGCUCGCAAGGGUGAAACUCAAAGGAAUUGACGGGGGCCCGCACAAGCGGUGGAGCAUGUGGUUUAAUUCGAUGAUACGCGAGAAACCUUACCAGGGCUUGACAUAUACUAGGAUAGUGCAGAGAUGUGCUAGCUGCUUGCAGCUGGUAUACAGGUGCUGCAUGGCUGUCGUCAGCUCGUGCUGUGAAGUGUGAGAUUAAGUUCUUCAACGAGCGCAACCCCUGCUGUCUGUUACUAACAGGUAAAGCUGAGGACUCAGAUGGGACUGCCGGUGACAAAUCGGAGGAAGGUGGGGACGACGUCAAGUCAUCAUGGCCCUUAUGUCCUGGGCAACACACGUGCUACAAUGGCCGGUACAGAGCGCAGCGAAGCCGCGAGGCAGAGCAAAUCGCAAAAAGCCGAUCUCAGUACGGAUUGCAGUCUGCAACUCGACUGCAUGAAGUUGGAAUCGCUAGUAAUCGCGCAUCAGCAUGGCGCGGUGAAUACGUUCCCGGGCCUUGUACACACCGCCCGUCACACCAUCCGAGUCGGAGGUACCCGAAGUCGCCAGUCUAACCGCAAGGGGGACGGUUCCGAAGGUACGUCUGGUGAGGGGGGUGAAGUCGUAACAAGGUAGCCGUACCGGAAGGUGCGGCUGGAUCACCUCCUU
rnacentral:rRNA from 1 species